GGACCUGACUGCUAUCGGAUUGAUACUAAGCCAUGCGAGUCAUUGUAGCAAUACAAGGCAUACGGCUCAGUAACGCGUAGUCAACCUAACCUAUGGACGGGAAUAACCUCGGGAAACUGAGAAUAAUGCCCGAUAGAACAUUAUACCUGGAAUGGUUUAUGUUCCAAAUGAUUUAUCGCCGUAGGAUGGGACUGCGGCCUAUCAGUUUGUUGGUGAGGUAAUGGCCCACCAAGACUAUUACAGGUACGGGCUCUGAGAGGAGUAGCCCGGAGAUGGGUACUGAGACACGGACCCAGGCCCUAUGGGGCGCAGCAGGCGAGAAAACUUUGCAAUGUGCGAAAGCACGACAAGGUUAAUCCGAGUGAUUUCUGCUAAAGAAAUCUUUUGUUAGUCCUAGAAACACUAACGAAUAAGGGGUGGGCAAGUUCUGGUGUCAGCCGCCGCGGUAAAACCAGCACCUCAAGUGGUCAGGAUGAUUAUUGGGCCUAAAGCAUCCGUAGCCGGCUCUGUAAGUUUUCGGUUAAAUCUGUACGCUCAACGUACAGGCUGCCGGGAAUACUGCAUAGCUAGGGAGUGGGAGAAGUAGACGGUACUCGGUAGGAAGUGGUAAAAUGCUUUGAUCUAUCGAUGACCACCUGUGGCGAAGGCGGUCUACUAGAACACGUCCGACGGUGAGGGAUGAAAGCUGGGGGAGCAAACCGGAUUAGAUACCCGGGUAGUCCCAGCUGUAAACUAUGCAAACUCAGUGAUGCAUUGGCUUGUGGCCAAUGCAGUGCUGCAGGGAAGCCGUUAAGUUUGCCGCCUGGGAAGUACGUACGCAAGUAUGAAACUUAAAGGAAUUGGCGGGGGAGCACCACAAGGGGUGAAGCCUGCGGUUCAAUUGGAGUCAACGCCGGGG
rnacentral:rRNA from 1 species